CAGCCACAUCUCGUUGAAUCACUGGUUCCCGUAUGAUCACCGAAGUUAAACGACGUCGAACCUGGCUAGCACCUCGAUGGGUGACUACUUGGGAAUACCGGGUGCUGUAAG